rfam:Aspergillus flavus AF70 409, whole genome shotgun sequence.
ACAUACGACCAUAGGGUGUGGAGAACAGGGCUUCCCGUCCGCUCAGCCGUACUUAAGCCACACGCCGGGAGGUUAGUAGUUGGGUGGGU